GCCAGCAUGACCACCCAGAACUGCAGCACUUGGCCAGCGUGACCACAUGAUUCUUCCAUGUCAGCCUGACAGUAGCAUUUUCUCCUGAAAAGUGGAAGUUGCCAAAGGAAUUCUAUCAUCUCUUCAGUGGCAGCUGUGUUGUGUAUCUGAGGCCUUCACUUUUGGAAUCUCAUUCUAUUUGAGGCAAUACCAAGUGGUGUUCAUGGAAUCAGAUGGCAUUCCCUGGAUUGAAACCAGGUCUGAUACAUGCAAGGCAAAAUAACUACCUACUGAAGAAUCUCUCUGGCCCCUCCAAAUCAGUCUUAAGCUAUGUAUAAUUGUUAAAUGAAACUACUGAAUUUAAUAUAUUUUAAUUAAUUAUACUUUAUUUCAAUAAAAUAUCCCUAUUAAAUCUAUUUCUAUAAGUUUUUACAAAUGUAUAUUUUUAAAUAAAAGUUUCACGAAAAAUAAUGGAGAUA